rnacentral:sRNA from 1 species
CCCAGGGCUCACGCCCUGGGCUACUUUAUGCCGCCCCUAACGGGGCU